GACGAACGCUGGCGGCGUGCUUAACACAUGCAAGUCGAACGGAAAGGCCUGCUUUCCCUUGUGGAUUGCGGGUACUCGAGUGGCGAACGGGUGAGUAACACGUGAGUGAUCUGCCCCCAACUUGGGUAUAAGCCUGGGAAACUGGGUCUAAUUCCCGAUAGGACUGCAGGGUGGUGCCUGUGGUGGAAAACGAUUUUCUAGUGGUUGGGGAUGAGCUCGCGGCCUAUCAGCUUGUUGGUGGGGUAAUGGCCUACCAAGGCGGCGACGGGUAGCCGGCCUGAGAGGGUGGACGGCCACAUUGGGACUGAGAUACGGCCCAGACGCCUACGGGAGGCAGCAGUGGGGAAUAUUGCACAAUGGGCGGAAGCCUGAUGCAGCGACGCCGCGUGGGGGAUGACGGCCUUCGGGUGGUAAACUCCUUUCGACCGCGAGGAAGCCACCUGGUUGGAAGGGUGGUGACGGUAGUGGGAGAAGAAGCACCGGCUAACUACGUG
rnacentral:rRNA from 1 species